GACGAACGCUGGCGGCGUGCCUAAUACAUGCAAGUUGAGCGCUGAAGGUUGGUACUUGUACCAACUGGAUGAGCAGCGAACGGGUGAGUAACGCGUGGGGAAUCUGCCUUUGAGCGGGGGACAACAUUUGGAAACGAAUGCUAAUACCGCAUAAAAACUUUAAACACAAGUUUUAAGUUUGAAAGAUGCAAUUGCAUCACUCAAAGAUGAUCUCGCGUUGUAUUAGCUAGUUGGUGAGGUAAAGGCCCACCAAGGCGAUGAUACAUAGCCGACCUGAGAGGGUGAUCGGCCACAUUGGGAAUGAGACACGGCCCAAAAUCCUACGGGAGGCAGCAGUAGGGAAUCUUCGGCAAUGGACGGAAGGCUGACCGAGGAACGCCGCGUGAGUGAAGAAAGUUUUCGGAUCGUAAAACUCUGUUGGUAGGGAAGAACGUUGGGGAGAGUGGAAAACGCAUCAAGUGACGGUAACUACCCAGAAAGGGACGGCUAACUACGUG
rnacentral:rRNA from 1 species